rnacentral:rRNA from 1 species
UACGUAGGGGGCAAGCGUUGUCCGGAUUCAUUGGGCGUAAAGAGCGUGUAGGCGGCCAGGUAGGUCGGUUGUGAAAACUGGAGGCUCAACCUUCAGAGGUCGACCGAAACCAUCUGGCUAGAGUCCGGGAGAGGAGAGUGGAAUUCCUGGUGUAGCGGUGAAAUGCGCAGAUAUCAGGAAGAACACCCGUGGCGAAAGCGGUUGCCUGGAGCUUUGCUGACGCUGAGGCGCGAAAGCGUGGGGAGCGAUCCGG